rnacentral:rRNA from 1 species
CCUACGGGCGGCAGCAGUGGGGGAUAUUGCACAAUGGGGGGAACCCUGAUGCAGCGACGCCGCGUGGGUGAAGAAGCCAUUCGUGGUGUAAAGCUCUAUCAGCAGGGAAGAAAAUGACGGUACCUGACCAAGAAGCCCCGGCUAACUACGUGCCAGCAGCCGCGGUAAUACGUAGGGGGCAAGCGUUAUCCGGAUUUACUGGGUGUAAAGGGGGCGUAGACGGUUGUGCGAGUCAGGAGUGAAAGGCCGGGGCCCAACCCCGGGACUGCGCUUGAAACUGCGUAACUGGAGUGCAGGAGGGGUAAGUGGAAUUCCUGGUGUAGCGGUGAAAUGCGUAGAUAUUAGGAGGAACACCAGUGGCGAAGGCGGCCUACUGGACUGUAACUGACGUUGAGGCCCGAAAGCGUGGGGAGCAAACAGGAUUAGAUACCCGAGUAGUC